ACUCCUACGGGAGGCAGCAGUGGGGAAUAUUGCACAAUGGGCGCAAGCCUGAUGCAGCCAUGCCGCGUGUAUGAAGAAGGCCUUCGGGUUGUAAAGUACUUUCAGCAGUGAGGAAGGUGGGUAUGUUAAUAGCAUACUCAUUUGACGUUAGCUGCAGAAGAAGCACCGGCUAACUCCGUGCCAGCAGCCGCGGUAAUACGGAGGGUGCGAGCGUUAAUCGGAAUUACUGGGCGUAAAGCGCAUGCAGGUGGUUUGUUAAGUCAGAUGUGAAAGCCCGGGGCUCAACCUCGGAAUUGCAUUUGAAACUGGCAAACUAGAGUACUGUAGAGGGGGGUAGAAUUUCAGGUGUAGCGGUGAAAUGCGUAGAGAUCUGAAGGAAUACCGGUGGCGAAGGCGGCCCCCUGGACAGAUACUGACACUCAGAUGCGAAAGCGUGGGGAGCAAACAGGAUUAGAUAACCUGGUAGGCUCUGC
rnacentral:rRNA from 1 species